rnacentral:rRNA from 1 species
UACGAAGGGUGCAAGCGUUAAUCGGAAUUACUGGGCGUAAAGGGUGCGUAGGCGGUUGUUUAAGUCUGUCGUGAAAUCCCCGGGCUCAACCUGGGAAUGGCGAUGGAUACUGGGCAGCUAGAGUGUGUCAGAGGAUGGUGGAAUUCCCGGUGUAGCGGUGAAAUGCGUAGAGAUCGGGAGGAACAUCAGUGGCGAAGGCGGCCAUCUGGGACAACACUGACGCUGAAGCACGAAAGCGUGGGAGCGAACAGG